rnacentral:rRNA from 1 species
AGUGAACGCUGGCGGUAGGCCUAACACAUGCAAGUCGAACGGCAGCACAGUAAGAGCUUGCUCUUACGGGUGGCGAGUGGCGGACGGGUGAGGAAUACAUCGGAAUCUACUUUUUCGUGGGGGAUAACGUAGGGAAACUUACGCUAAUACCGCAUACGACCUACGGGUGAAAGCAGGGGAUCUUCGGACCUUGCGCGAUUGAAUGAGCCGCUGUCGGGUUAGCUAGUUGGCGGGGUAAAGGCCCACCAAGGCGACGAUCCGUAGCUGGUCUGAGAGGAUGGUCAGCCACACUGGAACUGAGACACGGUCCAGACUCCUACGGGAGGCAGCAGUGGGGAAUAUUGGACAAUGGGGGCAAGCCUGAUCCAGCCAUACCGCGUGGGUGAAGAAGGCCUUCGGGUUGGAAAGCCCUUUUGUUGGGAAAGAAAAGCAGCAGGUUAAUACCCCGCUGUUCUGACGGUACCCAAAGAAUAAGCACCGGCUAACUUCGUG